AGAGAGAGAGAGACAGAGACAGAGAGAGAGAGAGAGAGAGAGAGAGAGAGAGAGAGAGAGAGAGAGAGAGAGAGAGAGAGAGAGAGAGAGAGAGAGAGAGAGAGUGUGUGUGUGUGUGUGUGUGUGUGUGUGUGUGUGUGUGUGUGUGUGUGUGUGUGCGUAUGUGUGCGCGUGUGUGUGCGUAUGUGUGCGUAUGUGUGUGUAUAUCGUGAUGUUGUAUUGUAUUAUAGCUUAGUAGUAUGACUCCAUCAAGGAUAUCAGUUUCAUACCUUGAACUAACCAAUGCACCUUUGUGACCUUUGUUAUAUGACCUAAUAGUGCUUGUGAUCAUUCAUUAACGUAAUGUCUUCAUUGCUACAGAAUCAUGAACAAUUUGUAGCCAGUUUUAUUAGCGCCUGUGCUGGUAGUUUUGUCAGCAGGUUAGUUUUAUAUGCUGCGAUGCUGCCAUCUGGUGGUAUACAGAGCAAACUAGUUUAGUUGAUAUUUGCUUGAAAUGUCGGGAGCCCCUCCUGAUCUCGGAGCUAGGGCUAGGGCCAGAUAGCGAGGGCCAGGCUAGGCUAACCAGCAGUUAGCCCCAGCCCUAGUCCUAGUCCCGGCCCCAGUCCCAGUCCAAGCCAUUCCGCCACUAGCUAGCCCUGAUUUACUAGUGGCUCUAUCUAUGGCCACUAGUAAAUCAGGCUCUUAUAAGUGCCAAAAAAAUAGUGUGAAUGUGUGAACAGCCUUUUGGCUGAUAUUGAUACAGCUUAAACAGUGACCUGACCUGCUCUACUUCUCCUGGAUGUCCAUUCACCUGGAUUUGAGGAAAACAUUGCGGGAGGAAGCAACACACAACACAAGGGUACCUGUUGGGAGCCGCAGGCAUCUCUACCUUACCUCAGAUGGACAGACGUCAUGGAGCUCACUCUGAUUGUUGUGUGGUUUAGCUCGCUCACUCGAACUGCAACACUGGGUAUUUAGUUCAUCUCAAGCAGGAAGUUUACAAUUUAAGAGAGCCAUAAUAAUGAACUAUUUUACAAAACAUGUCUAAUUGUCUCAACAGUUUUUAGGCUAUAUUGAUUCUGUAUGUUAUCCAUAGGCUUAUAUCUGUCUGUAUGUUAUCUAUAGGCUUAUAUCUCAUGGCAAAAAAAAAAAAAAGCCUCCUGAAUAUAAUGGAAUGCUGCUGUCUGGGGGCAUCGCACGUGCGGGCAACUGCGUCCGCUCUGCAGGGGGCCUCACUCUGCUGGCUGUGAUGUGAUGCAGUCACGAGUGAACUCUGGUAAAUGGAAAUGCCUGACAUCUCUUAGUCAAUAAAGUGAGCCAUUUGUUGUGAGA